rnacentral:rRNA from 1 species
AUACGUAGGGGGCGAGCGUUGUCCGGAAUGAUUGGGCGUAAAGGGCGCGUAGGCGGCCCGGUAAGUCUGGAGGGAAAGCCCUGCUUUUAAGGGGGGAUUUGCUUUGGAUACUUUCGGGCUUGAGUGCAGGAGAGGAAAGUGGAAUUCCCAGUGUAGCGGUGAAAUGCGUAGAGAUUGGGAGGAAAACCAGUGGCGAAGGCGACUUACUGGACUGUAACUGACGCUGAGGCGCGAAAGUGUGGGGAGCAAACAGGAUUAGAUACCCUGGUAGUCCACACUGUAAACGAUGAAUGCUAGGUGUGGGGGGACUGACCCCUUCCGUGCCGCAGUUAACACAAUAAGUAAUCCACCUGGGGAGUACGGCCGCAAGGUUGAAACUCAAAUGAAUUGGCGGGG